rnacentral:rRNA from 1 species
AACGAACGCUGGCGGCAUGCCUAACACAUGCAAGUCGAACGAGACCUUCGGGUCUAGUGGCGCACGGGUGCGUAACGCGUGGGAACCUGCCCUUAGGUUCGGAAUAACUCCCCGAAAGGGGUGCUAAUACCGGAUAAUGUCUUCGGACCAAAGAUUUAUCGCCUUUGGAUGGGCCCGCGUUGGAUUAGCUAGUUGGUAGGGUAAAAGCCUACCAAGGCGACGAUCCAUAGCUGGUCUGAGAGGAUGAUCAGCCACACUGGGACUGAGACACGGCCCAGACUCCUACGGGAGGCAGCAGUGGGGAAUAUUGGACAAUGGGCGGAAGCCUGAUCCAGCAAUGCCGCGUGAGUGAUGAAGGCCUUAGGGUUGUAAAGCUCUUUUACCCGGGAUGAUAAUGACAGUACCGGGAGAAUAAGCUCCGGCUAACUCCGU